UCUCGGGCUGCCAAAACAUCAGCGAGAGAAGAGAGUGCUGGGGGCAAAAACAAAGCGAGGAAAACAUUAGGAAUGGAGAGCGAGAUCAAGAAACAAAAACAAAACAAGAGAAAACGAAAAGGAGAGGACGAGAGGGAAUUGCAGAGUGAGACGGGAAGAAGAUAAAGGUCAAGGGGGUACCUUUGGUUUGUGAGGCUCGUUGGCGGGGCCGCCGUCGUCUUUCACGUCCGCUUUCGCUUUCCCGUCUGGGCUCAUCAUCCCUUCGCCCGACAUUCCCAUGGCUCCUUCGCCAAGAGAGGAAACAUUUACUGAGAAAUACUGAGUUUUUCAAAGAAUAAAAACACUUUGUGUGAGAUAUCUGUGGGCAGGUAGCUUUGUACCUUUUGGCCGUAAAAUAAACAUCUAUGUUUUUCUGUUUAUAAAGAGAUUUGUCCCUACAGGUGUGCUUUCACCACAGCAGAAUGAAGAGGUUCGAUCGGCACGUUUUGCUAUCACAAUCGAUAAGAUAUGUGGACCUGGGUCGACUCAAGUCACUGACAUGAUGACUCGAAGGACUCGUCUGUGUUCAAUUUAUGUUUCCAGUUUAGCUUUUGAGUGUCGCUGUCAGUAUUUCACUCCUUACAAUAAAAAUGAUAAAAAAUG